GCAUCAUUUGUAUUUAUUAAUUAAAUUACUACUGAUUAGCUACUUAACUUUUGUGACUUCACCAGGUUCCUGGUGGAUGGGAAUAUAUGACUUAAACCUAUUGCUAAUAUAGCAAUAUAGUUCAAAUUUGAUGCAUCAAUGUGUUUAAUCACUUCCCUUAUUAACAUAUGGAAUUAUACUGUACAAAUAUUUGGUCCCACUUUAUAUUGUGGCCCUUAUACCUGGGUACUUACAUAGUAACUAGUUGUGUAUGUAGUAUGUAACCACAGUGUACGUACACAUUGGUACAUAGUAUCUACAGCUGUAAUAUUUCUGUAACUACACACAUGUAACAACCCUCCGAAUGGUUUGUGUAAGUACAAAUGUGUAACAGGACAUAUAUAACUACAUUCUGUGACAACAAUAUGUAUAAAAGUAAUUGGAAAAAAUUUAUCCAGGAGGUGGAAAUGGGUAGGUUUAAGGGGUGGAAACGAGAUCCAGGGGGUGGAAAUGGGUUUAGGUUUUUAAGGGGUGGAAACGGGAUCCAGGGGGUGGAAAUGGGUAGGUUUAAGGGGUGGAAACGGGAUCCAGGGGGUGGAAAUGGGUUAGGGUUUUUUUUUUUUUUUGUUUUUUUCUCGUAUAGUAAGUAGGUAGGGUUUUGGUUUUUUUUUUUUUUUUUUUUCUUUCGUAUAGACUCUGGAGCUGUCUGACCCUGCAUAUAGACAGCAAUGCUGAAAUGUUCCCAAGUCCAAAAAUCGUACAGUAGUAAGGAGAGCUGUGAAGUUAAUGUGACAUCAGUGGUUCAUCCGCAAUUAUAUGAAGCUACUAAAAUACUUUUUGUGUGCAAAAAAAAAUAAAAAACAAUAAUGACUUUAUUCAACAAUUUGCCUCCUCCGCAUCACCCUGGUGCCAUUUUGGAGAAUACCUCAACUGUUUCCUACGUUGUUGUGAUUUGAUCUGAACGGAAACAGCGUAUCAGCAUGACGCAGCUGAGAUAUUCUCCAAAAUGGCACCAUGGUGAUGCAGACAAAUUGCUGAAUAAAUUUUUUUUUUAUUUUUUUUUUGCGCACAAAAAGUAUUCUCGUAGCUUUGUAUAAUUGUGGAUGAACCACUGAUGUCACAUGGAUUAAUUCACAGAUCUCCUUGCUACGUUUCUGGACUUGGGAACAGUUCAGUUGCAUUGCUGUAUAUGCAGGGGCAGACAGCUCCAGAUCCCAUCUAAAAAAAUCUUAAUUUGUGUUCCGAAGAUGAACAAAUGUCUUACGGGUUUGAAAUGACACGAGGGUGAGAAAUUAAUGACAGCUUUUUCAUAUCUGGGUGAAUUAACCCUUUAAUAUAAAGUGUAACAUUCUGGAUACCAACCACAAUUUAUAUGUAAAGCCUAACUUACUGGCCACUGCUGUGUAACAUCAAAGUAAUUACAUGGUAAAUCCAAAGGAAUUGUUUACGUAAUAUAAAGUGUAACACUUUAUUUACCAAAAAAGUGCUGUUAGUCCUGUUAAACAUUUGUAUUUCAUUACCAAAAUGUGUUGUUACCAAUGUCUUGUUACACAUUUGUAACCCACCAUUCGGAGGGUCGUUACAUGUGUGUAUUAGCAAAAACAUUACAGCUGUAGAUACUAUGUACCAAUGUGUACUUACACUGUGGUUACAUACUAUGUACACAUCUAGUUACUAUGUAAGGUAUACCCACAGAUAUUAGGGCCACUUAAUACAAAGUGGGACCAAAUAUGUUCUUAAACUCACUCAAAAAUGAAAACACUAAGGACUGGAUUACUUCAAAUCAUUUACUCACCAUCAUGUAAUUUCAAACCUGUAUAAAUUUAUUUAUUUAUUUUAUUUUUUUUUAUUUUUUUUGUGGAACACAAACGAAGAUAUCUACAGAAGAUAAAGGAUUGAUUAACUGAUCAGACCCCAUUGACUUUCACUGUUUUUCUACAAAUACAGCUGAAGCAUUUUUCUAAAUGUCUUCUUUUGUGUUUCUGGAUGUACUAGGAUUUUCAUUUUUG
rnacentral:lncRNA from 1 species